rnacentral:lncRNA from 1 species
CCCACCCUUCCCACCAUCCUCAGGGGCCACCCCACCUACCCGGCUCUGGGCAUGGGAAACGGACCUGGGGAACUGCCUCAGCUGUUGUUCAGUCACCUCUCUCGCUCUCUCUCUCUCACACACACACACACACACACUCACACACUCACUCACACUCACUCACACUCACUCCAUGUGAGCCAGGAGGAACCGAGUCUGUCUGUGUCUGCCCCAGAGCUUCACACUACCUGUUCUGUCUGUCCGGUCAGUGUGUCCAUGUCUGUGUCUCUCUCACUCUCUGGUUCUCCUUUGGGUGGAUGAAAUUAGGAGAGCAGGUUUGGGGGAGCAAGGUUUGGUUUAGGGUACUUGAGGGUCCUAGAGUCACUGGCUUCUGGAAUCUCUGUCCUCCCAGUGGUGGAAACACCAGGUCCUCACUGCCCUGAUGUCCAGGUGACUUCCACUCAGAGCAGUGCACCCUGGCCCCUCCAGGGCCGACUGGGGCAGCCUGAGCUGCAGGCCUCGUGGGAGUCACUUUGGUUUAGGUGGCGGAGGUUGGAAUGUUGCAUUGCCUGAUGAAGUUCGCUUAGCAGCCCCUCACCCCACUGUGGGCCAGCGUCCCAACCUCAGGGCCACAGAUCUGUGCGCCUUGGUUAUUUUUGUGUUAAUCUCCUUUGGAC